UACAGAGGUCCCAAGCGUUGUUCGGAUUCAUUGGGCGUAAAGGGUGCGUAGGCGGCGCGGUAAGUCGGGUGUGAAAUUUCGAGGCUUAACUUCGAAACUGCAUUCGAUACUGCCGUGCUAGAGGACUGGAGAGGAGACUGGAAUUUACGGUGUAGCGGUGAAAUGCGUAGAUAUCGCUUGGAACGCCGAAGGUGAAAACAGGCUGCUGGGGUUGUGCCGACGCUGAGACACGAAAGCCAGGGGAGCAAACGGG
rnacentral:rRNA from 1 species